rnacentral:rRNA from 1 species
UACGUAGGUGGCAAGCGUUGUCCGGAUUUACUGGGCGUAAAGAGCGCGCAGGCGGUCGUGCAAGUCGCGUGUGAAAGCCCCCGGCUCAACUGGGGAGGGUCACGCGAUACUGCUCGACUUGAAGGCAGGAGAGGGAAGUGGAAUUCCCGGUGUAGUGGUGAAAUGCGUAGAUAUCGGGAGGAACAUCAGUGGCGAAGGCGACUUCCUGGCCUGUUCUUGACGCUGAGGCGCGAAAGCUAGGGUAGCAAACGGG